rnacentral:lncRNA from 1 species
GAGGAGAGAGGUGAGGAAAAGGCUAAGUCAGAGUCCGCGACCUUGCCGGCUCUAUACCUUCAGAGGGCUGCAGAGCGCGCGCGUCAAGUCCGCGGAAAGUUUUACUAGUCAGCUCCUCCAGCGCGCACAGCGGCGACGUUGGACCCGGACCCGACUCUGGAAGCUGCGGCGCAGAGGGUGCUCGGGGGACCAUGCGCGGGGCUAGGAUGUCUGCGAUGCUUAAGAGUGUCCGGGGUGUUCGGGGCUCGCGUCCCGAGUUCAUGGUCG